CCUACCCUCCAGCCAAUCAGAGCGAGUGAGAUGUUUGUCUGUGUGAAAAUCAUGUGAUCGCCUCUGUCCGCGGGCGCAAUAUCUCUGCGAAUGAGGGUUAGCUGCUUUCGGAAGCAAACGGAAAAACUGCUACGGACCUGAGGCUGCGAUAGGCAGAGGUAAUUGCCACCAUCUUUAUUAGGGGCAGUGAUCUUCGGGACUCAUGCCGGAUCGCCAUAUUUAUAGGUGGCAACCUGCAGUGGAACGCAAGCGCAGCCUUUCUUGCUUGGGAGGGGAGAUUAAGACAAGAGAAAUGUUUGUUUUUGUUUUUGUUUUUCUGGACUUCUUUCCCAGACUGUGAGACACGGCGUGUAUUUCCUGGGAAGGACCUUUGACGCUGGCGGAGUACUGGCUUCAGGCAGUAUAAAUUGCUGCAAGUUAUCCGUUAGAUAUUUAAUGGAGGAGAAAUGCCGAAAACGUGUUCAGAACUGCAUGUUCAAAAACAAAGUUGCUGGAAAAGCUCAGUAGGUUUGGUAGCAUCUGUGAAAGGAAAAAAAAUAACGUUUCGGAUCCGCUAAUCCUUGCUUAGAACUUCAUGUUACCUGUUGCACUCUCACUGUAGGAAGUCCUGCUUUAAAUAUUAUGAUCUAUUAAAGCAUAUCCGUUUGCCCAGUAUUCAUAUGAUUGGGAUCAAAUCACUGAAAGUGCUCUGAGUCCCCUUGUGCUCCCUCGUCAAAUUUAUUAAUGUCUGACUUCCUCAGUCUGUAAUAAUGGGUGUAUUUUACCUCUGCAUCUUUCUGUGUGGGGGAGCAGGGUGCUUUUAAGAGGAGGAUUUAUACAUAACUAACAGAAACCAAGAGAAAUGUUUGCCUUUUCCAGACAAUCUUGUGUUUUCUGGAUUUCUGUCCAGGCCUGACCGUUAUUUGUCUCUUGUGGAUUUGCUUUACAGGAUAUUUAUUGAGAAUAAUUUGCAAACCAGGAUCCCAAUGCAAGUUCUCCAUUAAGCGGAGUGAUCAGGAUCUGAGUAUCAUUGACACUUAACAGUGAAAGGAAAGAGGUUUAACCAUUCUAUGCAUGGGAGAAUACUCCUGGUAAGUUUGUAACUUGAAAGCAGGAUAUUCAAAUUUUUGGUUUGAUCACCUCUGGGAUAAGUGUUCAGUUCUAUACCCUGCAGCUGAGAAAGGAGAUAUUGGCCUGAGAGGGGUAGAUUUGUCCAAACAACACCUCGUCUCUUUGAAAGAACUGUCAUAUUUAGUCCCAAUCGCCCACUUCAUGAUUUUAGUCUAUACAUUUUUCAUUCUUGAAUACCUGCAAACUUCCUUUUAAAAUUCCUGAUGGGCACAAAUUCCAGCACCCCUCCAGGUGGAAUCUUCCAUUUCCUGACAACUCCAUUGAUCCUGAAACUGCUGAAGUCUGUGUUGAUUCCUGAGGUUUAUAAAUUACUGCAUUUAACGUGAAGAUGCUGUUCCCUGAGCUUCCAUUGAGCUGCAUUGAAACAGUAUGGGAGGCUGAGAUCAGAGUGGGUGUGAGCAUACAAUGAAAAUGAAAAGGCUGCACUGUGAGUGCUGCUUGGCUAAAUGAGAGUGCUUUGGAGUUGGGUGAAACAGAAAGUGAAACUGAAAGAUUGAGUGUGAUGCUCAGUCUCAGUUUGGGCAGUUCAGAAAGUCUCUCAGUCCUAAUGGAAACAGCCAAUUGAUAUUUGAUACUGUAAAGAAUUUUCUUACAGUUUUUAAAGUAUAUAUUAGCUUAAAUAAAGUUAGGGGCUUUAGGUUUAUAAUAGUAAUGUUUGAAAUGAAGGGGGAGGACCUAGCUUAAUUAAAUUCUUUUUAAGGCAGAAACUGGCUUAAUCUGGAGAGAAGUCAAAACAGAAGACAUCACACCUGUGAUGUGCUCCUCUUGCACAAUAGAACAUAGGCUCUUGAUGUUGUGUCGACCUGUGAAACCACACUGAAGCCCAUUUAACCCACACUAUUCCAUUAUCAUCCAUAUGUUUAUCCAAAGACCACUUAAAUGCCCUUAAACUUGGCGAGUCUACUACUGUUGCAGGCAGGGCAUUGCACGCCCUUAUUACCCUGAGUAAAGAACCUACCUCUGACAUCUGUCCGAUAUCUAUGACCCGUCAAUCUAAAGCUAUAUCCCCUCGUGCUAGCCAGCUCCAUCUGAGGAAAAAGGACCUCAGUGUCCACCCUAUCUAAUCCUCAUAUCAUCUUGUAUGUCUCUAUUAGGUCACCUCUGAACCUUCUUCUCUCUGACGAAAACAGCCUAAAGUCCCUCAACCUUUCCUCAUAAGACCUUCCCUCGAUACCAGGCAACAUUCUGGUAAAUCUCCUGUGCACCCAUUCCAAUGCUUGCACAUCCUUCGUGCAAUGCGGUGACCAGAACUCCGAGUGCGGCCGCACCAGAGUUUCGUACCGCUGCAAUAUGACCUCAUGGUUCUGAAACGCAAUCCCUCUAUCAGUAAAAACGAACACAUUGUACACCUUCUUAACAACCCUAUCAACUUGUGGAAACUUUCAGGGAUCUAUGUACAUGGACACCGAGAUCUCUUUGCUCAUCCACACUAUCAAGAAUCUUACCAUUAGCCCAGUACUCUGUAUUCCUGUUACUCCUUCCAAUGUGAAUCACCUCACAGUUUUCCGCAUUAAACUCUGGGACAUUACCAGUGUCCCUAUUGGCUAUUUGUGCAGGAAGUGUGUCCAUCUGCAGCUACUGGUUAACUGCUUUUCAGAGCUUGAGCUGUGGGUGCAGUCAGUAUGGAGCAUCCAUGGUAACUGAGAAGGUUGUGGUCGCAUUCUCAACAGACUGGUCACGCAGCAGGUGAAGAUUACACAGACAGCAAGGGAAUGGGUGACUAUCAGACAAGUAAAAGGCUCAGAAAGGAAGUGCUGGAGUCAUCUCCCUCAAAUAGAUAUACUGUUUUGGGUACUGUUCAGUUGGGGGGGAGAGAGGUGGGGGAUGUUGGGGUGGCCACUCGGGAAGCAGCAUCAGUCGGGUUCAUGGCACUCGGAGUAACUCCGCUGCAUAGAAGGGGAGGGAAACGAUAAAUAUGACUGUAGAGACAGGGGAUUCAAUAGUAAGGGAUAGAGAGAGACAUGAAUCCAGGAUGGUAUGUUGCCUCCCUGGUGCCAGGAUUAGCGAUGACACGGAGCAGCUUCAGGACAUUCUGGAGUGGGAGGGUGAACAUCCGAUUGUACCAGUGACAUAGGAAAACCAAGGGAGGAGGACCUGAAAGCUGAAGAUAGGAAGUUAAGAGAUACACUAAAAUACGAGAUCUCAAAUGUAGUAUUGUCAAGCUUACACCCAGUGCCACAUUGUUGUCGGGAGAAGUUUGUGUUGUGUUCAGUUGUACAAGUGACCUUUAUUCAGAGCUCUGUUACCGCAUGUGUGGGAGAGGCCAGAGUCCACUCCAAACCUGGCUUUCACAUGAGGCCUAAUUCCCCUCUUAAAUACAGCUCAGAUUGGAAGAGUGGACAGUGACACUCAAACUUUCCCUGGCUGAUUGUGAUAUUUUUAUUCCAUUCGCUAGGUGUUAUUUACAUGCAAUAUUGUUGUCAUUGUUAGCCACACACCCCAAAUCAAUAUACCCAAUCCAGUAAGCAAACCAUUUUCCUAGGAUGGUGACGGCGAGUACGAGGGGGCAUAGCUUUAAAUUGAGGGGUGAAAGAUAUAGGACAGAUGCCAGAGGUAGUUUCUUUACUCAGAGAGUAGUAAGGGAAUGGAACGCUUUGCCUGCAACGGUAGUAGAUUUGCCAACUUUAGGUACAUUUAGGGUGUCAUUGGACAAGCAUAUGGACGUACAUGGAAUAGUGUAGGUUAGACGGGCUUGAGAUCGGUAUGACAGGUCGGCACAACAUCAAGGGCCGAAGGGCCUGUACUGUGCUGUAAUGUUCUAUGUCGUAUGUUCAAACAAUCGUGGACAACACUAUGUUCAGUCCUAAACCCUUCUAUAAUCUCCUGAGGUUAGCUCGAAAACUACUUCGUCUGUCUUUGGGACCUUACAAUGCUUUUGACAGUUAUAUUCCUCCUCAGACAUUUGCCAGCUGCACCACAUUUUUUUGCCAAAAACCAAAAUGGUAUCUUAUCACUAAGAACUUUUCCAAAUUCUCUACUAACUGUAGUGUGGAUUGUUAGGAAUUGUGAUUAAGUCUUUUAAACUCAACUCUGAUAUAAAGUGACUACAAUUUGUAAUACAGUUGACAAAUUGUGGAAAAAUCCCUCUCUUACUUCAGCUUAAAAGAUCAAACAGUGUUUCUGACUUGCUGCUGCAGUUUACAAUCCCAACGAUUUGCAUUCUGUAAAUGAUUUUUAAACUGAAGUUUCAUUUUCUACUCUAAGCGCUUUCCAUUAUUACUUUCUUGUUUUAAUAAAAAGCAUCUAUUCCAGUUCCACUGAGUGUGAAAUUCAGUCACUUUAGAGCUUUACCAAGCCAUGAAACAAAAUUUGUUCAGAUUUCACAAAUAACUAAGGCACUAACCAUAUCUUCAUUUCGGAUUUUGUAAUCUAUCUUUGUCACUCUUCCCUUGAUCUUUGGAUGUAAGAAUUUAUUCAAAUUAUCCGUAUCGACAUUUCAAUUGUUUUAUCUCUCUGCAGCCCUGACUUCUCUCUUUAUAAUCUUCCUUUGCCCCUUCCUAUGUUGUUGGUCUUUUCGAGGUUGUGUUUACACCAUUUAUUGCUUUUCCUUCCAUAAUGAUACAGUGAGCUGCUUUUAUUGCUGACAAACAUUUGCUCUAGGAAUUCAGCUAACCCUUUCACGUUAAUUGGUUGUUUGCAUUUCUGGUUACAAUUACCUAAACAGUUCAGAAUGCUGUAGGAUCAGACUUUUGCUUCUACUUUUUAUUAAGUAACAAACUUGUGAUUGUGGCUGAACCAGGCCUUUAAAAACUGCCUCUUGUUAAAAUGCUUAUGUGUUUUGAACUGUCUGUUUACAGAAACCCAAGUAAAUUCCCUAAUGUUCCUUCUCAACAGGACUCUUUUAUACCCCCCACAGGACCUUUUGUGAUCUAAUCCCGUAACAGUGUGAGCUGCUACAAUGCACGUGCUAGUAAAAGCAUAAGAGGACAGAUGAGAUGAGUGCAUGGCUGGAGCUAUAACUUAAAAGGUUUGGAUUCCUGAGGCAUUGAGACUGUUUGUUUGUUUCUGGGGAAGGUGGGACAUGCACAAGCUUGAACAAUUGUCCUGGGCAGAGCUGGGACAGAUAUUCUUGUUGAUGCUUUUGCUAGUUCCACUGGUGAGGAUUUAAACUCGUAUGACAGGGGAAUGGGAACCCAAGUAUAGCUUUAGCAGUAAAAGACUCAAAUCAGCAAAUGGGAUUUGAAAUUAGUUCAUGAUGUUGUCGGUGGCUGAAAGAUUAAAAGAAAGAAGGAUUAAUCAAGAUCAAAUCUCUUUUCAUACAUCAGUCCUGUGAUCCCAGGAAUUGGCCUGGUGAACCUUCUUUCCGAUCAUUCAGUAGCCAGGCCAUCCUUCCUCUGGAAAGGAGAACAAAGGUGCACACGACUCCAGGUGUGGUCUCACCAAGGCCCUUAUAGAAAGAUAUCCCUCUUCCUGUACUCGAAUCCUCUCACAAUGAAGGCCGAAAUAUCAUUUGCAUUCUUCACUACUUGCUGCUGCCUGUUUCCGAAAAGAGAAUAGGAGAGAAACACGGAACUAAAUGGGGUCAGACACUCGGGUAACAUUGUGUUCAACAAUGUCCCCAUUGUAUCGGUGCUGGCCACCAAGCACCUAUUGAAGCUAGGCCCGUUUUCUGGCACUCGGUGUGUAACCUGUAUUUUGGUGCAGUGGAUGAUCAUCUCAACACUUCUUCAAGAUUGCAAUGGUUCCUGCAUCUAUCACCAUUUCAGAUGCUGCCAGAUCUGCUGAGUAUCUCUAUCAUUUUCUGUUUUUAUUUCAGAUUUCAGGUAUUUUUCUGCAUCUUAGUCCUUCAGAAGGAUCAGAGGGUAUGGAGAGAAAACAGGAAUUGGAUUCAUUUUCAGAUGAAUAAAAUGCCUGCCCUUCAUGUCUGUCCAAACUCUAUCUCUUUUUGUAGUUUUGGGCAAACGCUGACUGUUUCCCUUCCCUGAAGGACAUUUAAUGAACCAGUUCAGUUUUACUGAUAAUCCAGCAGUGCCCCUCAGUGUUGCAUCCACAAUUGAUCAGAUUAAUUUCUGAGUUUGACAAUCUUUGUGUGUGUUCUUCUGGUUUCUCUCUCUCUCUCUACUUUUUUUUUCUUCAGUUUGAAAUUGUGAUUGCAUUCAGAGAAAUCAAACAAAACCACAUCCAGAUCUGACACUCAAUCUGUUUGUCGUAACCUAAUUAUCUCAGGAUUUUGAACAUUAAAGGAAGAAGCACUGUUCACACCAGGGAGAAAUGCGUAUUGUCUGUGUGUCGAAGAUUCUGUGAAGAUUCAUCUGAAAUGCCCAAACACCAGCACGGUCACACUGGGGAGAGACUGUGGAAAUGUGGGGAUUGUGGGAAGGGAUUUAUUUACCCAUCCCAGCUGGAAAUGCACCAACGCAGUCACACUGGGGAGAAACUGUUCAUUUGCUCUGAUUGUGGGCUGGGAUUCACUCAGUCAAGCAACCUGCUGAAACACCAACGAGUUCACAGUGGGGAGAGACUGUUCACAUGUUCCGAGUAUGGGAAGGGAUUUGCUCACUCAACCAACCUGCUGAGACACCAGCGAGUUCACUCUGGGGACAGACCAUUCACUUGUUCUAUGUGUGGAAAGGGAUUCACUCAAUCAUCCCAACUGUUAACACACCAGCAAGUUCACCACAACCACAUUUGAAGGAUUUUGCCCUUAAAUCAAGGAAUGAACUUUGAUCUUUGGGCUGUUUGUACUGGUGUCAUUAGUCCCUGCUCAAAACUUGAUCUUCUCUUGGGAAAUAAGGUAGGGCAGGUGACUGAGGGGUCAGCAGGGGGGACAAUAUUUUGGGGCCUAUGAUUAUAUCUCUAUUAGUUUUAAAAUAAUUAUGGAAAAGGAUAGACUUUGGUCGAAGAGUCAAAGUUUUAAAUGAGGCCAAUUUUGACACUACUAUGCUUCUUAAAAGCACAGUAAGACCGCCUAUGUGUGGGAAUGCACGAGAUGGGUGAGAUACAAAAAAGUAUUUUACAUCAGUAUUUACUGUGAUAAAGGAUACAAAAGCUAAAGAACUUCGAGAAAUGAAUGUGUAUCUUGAAAAGCUCCAUGUUGUAGAGGAGGUGGUGCUGGAUGCCAUACAGAGCAUAAAGGUGGAUAAAUCCCCAGGACCUCUUCAGGUGUAUUCUCGAACUUUGCGGGAAGCUAAGCUUGCGAUUGGGCCCCUUGCUCAGAUAUUUGCACCAUUGACAGUCAUAGGUGAGCUGUUACACUGGAGGUUGGCUAAUCUGGUGCCAUUGUUUAAGAAAGGUGGUAACAUAAAACCAGGGAACAAUAAACUUUUAGUGAGCCUGACGUCAGUUGUGGGUAAGUUGUUGGAGGGAAUUCUGAGGGAUAGGAUUAACAUAUAUUUGGAAAGCGUGGACUGAAUGGGGAAUAGUUGACAUGGCUUUGUCCAUAGGAAAUUAUGCCUUACUAACUUGAUUGAGUUUUUUUGAAGAAGUUAGAAACAAGAUUGAUGGCAGACCGGUGGAUGUUUUCGAUAUUCCUCAUGGUCGACUGAUUAACAAGGUUAGAUCACAUGGAAUCCAGGGAGAGCUGGCCAUUUGGAAAGGCCUUUGACCUGCAGUAUGCUGCAAGGAUUGGUACUUAGUAACUAUAACUCCUACAUUCACAUCCAAAUCAUCUUUAUAAAUGACACACCACUGGUCACAGGCCUCCAGUCGACAAAGCAACCCUCCACCAGCACUCCGUCUUCUACCUUCAAGUCAGAUCUGUUUCCAAAUGACUGGUUCUCUCUGUAUUCCAUGUGAUCUGACCUUGCUAAUCAGUCUACUAUGAGGAACCUUGUCAAACGCCUUAGUGACAUCCAUAUAGAACACAUCCACCUCUUUGCGCUACUCAAUCCUCUUUGUUCCUGCAUCAAAAAAAAUCAAGUCAGUGAGACAUGAUUUCCCACACACACAGCCAUGUUGAUUAUCCCUAAUCAGUCCUUCCCUUUCCAAAUAUUUCAAGUACUAUCCCUCAGGAUUCCUAGAACGACUUUCCCACCACUAAUAUCAGGCUCACUGGCCUAUAGUUCCCUGGCUUUUCCUUACCACCUUUCUUAAAUAGUGGCACCACAUUAGCCAACUUCUGGUCCCUCACCUGUGACUAUCGAUGAUACAAAUAUCUCAGCAAGGGGCCCAGCAAUCACUUGCCUAGCUUCCCUCCGAGUUCUCGGAUACACCUGAUCAGGUCCCAGGAACUUAUCCACUUUUAUACGUUUUAAGCAUCACUACCUCUGUAAUAUGGAUAAUUUUCAAGAUGUUGCUAUUUAUUUCCCCACAGUCCAUAUCUUCCAUAUCCUUUUCUGUAGUAAAUACUGAUGCAUAAUACUUGUUUUAUUAUAUUCCCCAUUUCUUGCAAUUCCACACAUAGGAGGCAUUGCUGCUUUUUAAGGGGCCCUGUCUCUCCAUCGUUAUCCUUUUUGUUCUUAAUCUAUUUGUAGAAUCCCACUGGAUUUUCCUUAAUACUAUUUGCCUAAGUUACCUCAUGUUCCCUUUUUGCCCUACUAAUUUCCCUCUUAAGUAUACUAUUGUCAUUAUACUCUUGUAAGCAUUCACUCGAUCUCUGCUGUCUAUACCUGACAUGUCCUUCCUCGUUUUUCUUGACCAAAACCUUGAUUUCUCUCGUCAUCCAGAAUUCCCUAUACCUACCAGCAUUGUCCUUCACCCGAACAGGAGUAUACUGUCCCUGAACUCUCGUUAUCUCUUUUUUUUUGAAGGCUUCCCACUUUCUAACUUUCUGUUUUACCUGCGAACAUCUGCCCCAAUCAACUUUUGAAAGCUCUUGUGUAAUACCAUUAAAAUUGGCCUUCCUCCAAUAUAGAGCUUUAACUUUCAGAUCCGGUCUACUCUUUUCCAUCACUAUUUUAAAACUAAUAGAAUUAUGGUCACUGGCCCCAAAGUCCUCCCCUGCUGAUACCCUAGUCACCUGUCCUGCUUUAUUUGCCAACAGCAGGUCAAGUUUUGCACCUUCUGUAGUCGGUACAUCACAUACUGAAUCAGAACAUUUUCCUCUACACUCUCAGCAAACUCCGCUCCAUCCAAGCCUUUUAGACCAUGGAAUUCCCAGUCUGUUUGGAAAGUUAAAAUCCCUUCCAUCACCACCCUGUUAUUCUUCCAGAUAACUUCUUUCAAAAUUAUUUGUCAGAUUCCUGCUGACUAAUGGGGGUGGCUAUAGUAUAAUCCCAAUAAGGUGAUCAUCCCUUUCUUAUUUCUCAGUUCCACCCAAAUAACUUCCCUGGAUGUAUUCUCAGAUAUAUCCUGCCUAAGUAACGCCGUAAUGUUAUCCUUGCUCAAAAAUGCCACUUUUCCCUCCUCUCUUGCUUUGCUUCCCCCUCCCCCUUCGACUUUCUAUCCUUUCUAUAGGAACUAUAUCUUAGAACAUUAAGCUGGCAGCCCUGUCCACCUCUGAGCCUUGCCUCUGUAAUUGCAAUGAUAACCCAGUUUCAUGUUUCCAAUCUUGCCCUGAGUUCCUCUGCCUUAGCUGUUAGGCCUCUGGCAUUGAAAUAAAUGGCGUUUAAUUUAUUAGUCCUUUCGCAUUAAUCUCAAUAACAAAUACGUAACUGUAGAGUAGGUUUUGAAAAUGAUAACGUUUUAUUGCUGUAGAUCAACACAUUCACACUGGGUAAAGACAAUCCACCCGCAGUGUGUGAAAAGGGAUUCCCUAGUUCAUUAGGACGGGUUUUCAUAGAAUUCGGAGUAUUCCUACAGUAUGGAAACAGGCCCUUCGGCCCAAGAAUUCCACACAAAACCUCAGAGCAUCCCACCCAGACACAUCUCCCCGUAGCCCACCUAAUGUACGCAUCACUGAACACUCUGGGCAAUUUAGCUUGGCGAAUCCACUAACCAGCACGUGGGAGGAAACCAGAGCACCUAGAGGAAACCCACGCAGCCACAGGGAGAAUAUGCCAACAACCACACACUCGGUUGCCCAAGGGUGGAAUCAAAUCCAGGUCCCUGGCACUGUGAGGCAGCAGUGCUAACCGCUGAGCCACUGUGGUUAAACACCAAUGAGUUCCCAAGAAUCUGUAGGAAUUUUUGUUGCUCGUAUUAUCUGUAUUCAAGUCAUGUUAUCUGGGCUUGUUUCUCAUGAUGUUUGAAAACACCACAUGUCUGGUUACCUUGUUGGGAGAAAAAAUGAUAUAAAUUUUAUUAAAACUACUGUGCAUUGGAUCUUUAUCUCAAAAGCAGACUAAUUUAUUUUGAAAGGGGAGAUGGAGAGCCUAUCUCCUCUAUCCUCACCUCCAACAAGUGCGAGGAACCUGUGGUUUUUAUUUUUCACUCAAUGACAGUCAGUACAUUUCAUAUGAGCAACUGGGAACCGAGUCAUCCCAAAAUGCUUGAAACUUAGUGUACUAAUGGUACACUAUUACAAUAAUAACCAUUACAAUUCUUUUCUGAACCUUUUGAAGUUUUACAACAUCCGUCCUUCAGCAGGAAGAGUAGAAUUACACACAGCGGUUACACCUAAACUGGAAUGGGAACUGCAUCCUUGUGGGAGCUGGGGAUGGGUUUCCAGUACUGUUGGGGGUCAUGUAAAAAGUUUAGCAGUGGGCUGAAAUCCAGAGAAUGUUCAAAAAUAAUAAUGGCCAAAAAGAGAAGAAACAAGAGAGUCUGGAAGGCAUUGUCAUUGGGCAAUUAAGAUAUAAGAGAGUUUGCCACGGGUGAAUGGUAUUUAAUGCUUGGAGUCAGAUGAAUAAGGCAGAUGAUUUGAGGAUACAAAUUAGUGGGGUCAUAAAGCCAUUGCUGUCACUUGGACAUGGUUAGCAGCUCAGUAUUCCAGGAUACAGGGCCUUCAUGCAAGGCAGUGGAGGUGGUAAAGGAGGAGGAAAUAUUGUUAUUUUGCUUCAGGAAUCUAUAUAGCAAUAAGGACAGGUGACAUUUUUGAAAACCCCUUUAAAUAAAUAAGGAGACAGAUUUUGAGAAAGUGUAGAAGUAGCAGGAUUAUGGUAGCAGAGACUUUCAACUUCCUCAACAUUAAUGGAGUCGUCAUAAUGUGAAGGAUUUAUCAGAAUUUUUAAAAUACAUCCAGGAGAGCAUUUUUUCAGCCACUAAGUAGAAGUCCCAACAAGGAAGGGGAAGGUCCUGGACUUGACUUUAGGUUACAAAGUUGAGCAAGUGGUUGAAGUUUCAGUGGGAUAGCAUUUUGCAGGUAGUUAUUAUAACUAUUCGAUUCAGGAUUUGUGUGAAAAAGGACAAGGAUGGGUCUAAAGUCCUAAACUGAUGCUGAAGUUAUGAAGAAAGUAAAUGGAAUUUUGGCCUUAACUGCGAGGUGUUAGUGUUUUGAGGAUCGGGACAUCUUGUAACAACUGUAUUGGAUGUUGGUGAAGCCAUAUUGGUUUAGCUACUCGUAUUUAAGAAAGGAUAUGCUGGCGUUGAAUGCGGUGCAAAAGAGAUUCGCUAAGCUGAUUCAUGGGAUGUAAGGGUCAUCAAGAAUAGCUGGAGGAAGGGAAUUUGCAAAGGGAAAAUACUAAAUAAACAGGUGGUGCCCAGUGUUGGGCUCAUACUCACAACUCUGCACUUAAACAGCGUAUGUUCCAACAACUGAGUUAACUUGGCCUUCCACAGUCAAUGUUCAAAUCCUGCUUUAUAAGGUGACAAAUGGGUUUUUCACUGACGCCGCUGCAGUCCAAGGAAGUAAAAGGUAACUGCUUUAGAAAAUCCCAAGGUUCCAAUGUAUUCUUCUCAUUCACAUUGCAAUCCAUUUUCAGUACUUGCUCCAGGAUUUAACAUUCAAAAUUAAUUUCGUGAUGUUGUUGCCCUCAUCUUUAAGUGCCCUGUAUAACUCCAGUCACUCGGUCGAAUGGUGAAAAAGUCUGUUUCAAUAAACCAAUUUUUUUCAGC